rnacentral:rRNA from 1 species
CUUCGGUUUGGGUGGCGGACGGGUGAGUAACGCGUAAAGAACUUGCCUCACAGUUAGGGACAACAUUUGGAAACGAAUGCUAAUACCUGAUAUUAUGAUUUUAGGGCAUCCUAAGAUUAUGAAAGCUAUAUGCGCUGUGAGAGAGCUUUGCGUCCCAUUAGCUAGUUGGAGAGGUAACGGCUCACCAAGGCGAUGAUGGGUAGCCGGCCUGAGAGGGUGAACGGCCACAAGGGGACUGAGACACGGCCCUUACUCCUACGGGAGGCAGCAGUGGGGAAUAUUGGACAAUGGACCAAAAGUCUGAUCCAGCAAUUCUGUGUGCACGAUGACGUUUUUCGGAAUGUAAAGUGCUUUCAGUUGGGAAGAAAAAAAUGACGGUACCAACAGAAGAAGUGACGGCUAAAUACGUGCCAGCAGCCGCGGUAAUACGUAUGUCACAAGCGUUAUCCGGAUUUAUUGGGCGUAAAGCGCGUCUAGGUGGUUAUGUAAGUCUGAUGUGAAAAUGCAGGCUCAACUCUGUAUUGCGUUGGAAACUGCAUGACUAGAGUACUGGAGAGGUAAGCGGAACUACAAGUGUAGAGGUGAAAUUCGUAGAUAUUUGUAGGAAUGCCGAUGGGGAAGCCAGCUUACUGGACAGAUACUGACGCUAAAGCGCGAAAGCGUGGGUAGCAAACAGGAUUAGAUAGCCCUGGUAGUCCACGCCGUAAACGAUGAUUACUAGGUGUUGGGGGUCGAACCUCAGCGC